UACGUAGGUGGCAAGCGUUGUCCGGAUUUACUGGGCGUAAAGAGCGCGCAGGCGGCUGGUCAAGUCCGAUGUGAAAUCUCCCGGCUUAACUGGGAAACUGCAUCGGAAACUGAUCGGCUUGAAGGUGGGAGAGGGUAGUGGAAUUCCCGGUGUAGUGGUGAAAUGCGCAGAUAUCAGGAGGAACACCUAUUGCGAAGGCAGCUCGCUGGGACGUAACUGACGCUGAGACGCGAAAGCGUGGGGAGCAAACAGG
rnacentral:rRNA from 1 species